CUUCCUCCUUGUCUAUCUUGUGCCUGCACUUCACUCCUCGUUUCUGGAGCUUUAUACCAAGUCUUGAUGUACAGCAGAGCAAGUGUUUGCACUUGUUCUCCAAGAUUCCACAUCUUUGUGUGGCUGGGCCCAAAUUCAUUCAGCUCUCUACUCAAACAUCCCUCAGAGAGGCCUUCCCUGGCACCCUACAAAGAGUGGCCAUCUCUCUGUCACCCUCUAUCUCCUUCUCUGCUUUAUUUUUCUUCCAGGCACUUAGCACUCCCUGACAUUUAUCACGUGUGCAGUUGGAUAUUUCUUGAUGCACGUGCACUAGAUGGUAACUGCCGUGAGCACAGGGGCUUUGUCUGUCUUGAUGUUUUCCUAAUGAUACAGUAAAUGUUUGGUGCAUGGUAGGCCAAACAUUAUUUAUUGAAAAAGUGAACAACUGACUGACUGGCUGACCGGACGGGUUUUAAGCAGGGAGAUGGUAUUCUAAUUCUAGAACAAUCACUCUGGUUGUAGAAUUGCACACAGAUCCCAGCAGGAUAAGACUGUAAGCUGUUGGGCAGGCUGCUGGGUGGCUAAUAGGCUGCCCAGCCUUGACAUGAUGGUGGCUUUGACCAGGGUGCCAGUGAGGGCUGGUGGAGAUGGACAGAGAGGUUUGGGAGGGGAAUAGCUCCAGGACUUGAUGACCAGGGGACCUGAGGACAGGCAGGAGUCAAAGAUGGUCUCCAUAGUUUUGACUUGGACGACUGGCUGGUGGUGGUGCCAUCUCGAGCUUGUGGCUGUAAGCUGCUUGCAGCCAGAGGUGAUGCCUCAGGCCCAUGAGUGUGAAGUUGGGGUUGCCCGGUGACUCCAGAGGACACUGACUAGAGACUCACGCCCCCUUCAGAUCCACUUCCAUCUUCUCCCAGGGCGUGGAGGUGGGGGAGAUGGCUCCCAGCAAAAGAGGGGAGAGCACCCGCGGUGGAGGGGGCUGCCGGGCGUAGAUGAUGUCAGUGAGUCCGGCACUGCUGGCAUUUCAGACUUCCUGGCAUUUGCACAAUCAAGGCUCCCCUAGGACCCCGGAAGAAAUAUCAUCCGACAACCAGCAAACACCCCUGGUCUCCCAGAGAUGCAGUGCUGCCAGUGACCUUGGUGAUAAUGACCUUCAGAGGAAGAUCCAAGUGAGCACAAAGCCAGCUGAAAGAAACUCGCCAACCCUGGGGCUGCCGCCACACCGACUUCAAAGUGCGCGGCGCCUCGCCUCUCCGGCCUGGCAGCAAUUAGAAUUCUUCUUCUGCCUUGAGCGCGUCAAGAUGAAACAGGUGGACAUCUGCCAGGAUCUGCCUUCCCCGGCGCUCCGGCUUUCCUUCUGGGAACUCUCAGGAUGCGACAGGACACCUGGCCUCCGUUCCAGGUUCAGCUACCCGCUGGUGGGUGAAUUCAUAGGAACAGCAGCACAAAGGUCAAACCCAAGCCAGCCUCCAAGACAGAGUCUCUCCUUAAGUGCCGUCGACUCUGGUCCUUGGCGGUUGGGACCCAGGAUGCUCCCCUCAGGUUCGCCCUUUCGUGCUGUGUUAGGAACCACCAGCAUCUGGGAGGCGGAAUGGCUCACGCGGCAGUAA
rnacentral:lncRNA from 1 species